GAUGAAGAACGUAGCGAAAUGCGAUAAGUAAUGCGAAUUGCAGAAUUUCCGUGAGCCAUCGAAUCUUUGAACGCACAUUGCGCCCUUUGGUAUUCCGAAGGGCAUGCCUGUUCGAGCGUCAUUAUCACAGCUCAAACCCCGGGUUUGGUGUUGGACCAACGUUGGGUCAGCCAACUGGUCUCAAAGACAAUGACGGCGUCCGUGGGACCCUCAGUGCAUCGAGCUUUCAUAAGCACGCAUUGAGUUGCAAGGACCUUCCGGGCCGGUCUACUUUUACAUCUUCUGAAAGUUGACCUCGGAUCAGGUAGGAAUACCCGCUGAACUUAAGCAUAUCAAUAAGCGGAGGA
rnacentral:misc_RNA from 1 species